GUGGUCUUAGCUCAGCUGGGAGAGCAUCUGCCUUACAAGCAGAGGGUCAUAGGUUCGAGCCCUAUAGGCCCCA
rnacentral:tRNA from 1 species